CUUAAGGUGGAUCCUCAGUUUUUUUGUUUAUAGAUUUCUCCGCCCAGGGGACGCCACCGUCGAUGUCCGUUUUUCGUCAAAUUUCUGCAGUCAAAGCUGAAUUUUGAAGAAUCUGAGCUUUUAUUUCAAAAUCGGAAAAUGUCACUCUGUAGAUUAGAGUAUUGCGAAUAUUUUGAGCCUUUGAUCAUCAAAAUGCAAGGUGUUGUGGUUGAGAAAGUACUGUUUCCCCACAAGAAAUCUCGGCCCUCGGCCGACGAUCCUCUCAGUUGACGGUAAAUUUAAAGAAUUAGAACACUUAAUUUCAAAAUCCAAGGAUGUCAGUCUGAAGAUUAGACUCUCUUCUUUCAUUCAAGCCCAAAAACAUGCAAUUCUAUCGCGAAUCGACGGAGAAAGUACUGUAUCCGACCGGCCGGACAACAAGCUUUUUCAUUCGGUUGGUCAUUUAAAAUUAAUUGCCCGCCGCAGCAACAAACAACAGGUUUGUUGACAUUUUAGGUUAUGUGUCCGUUCUUCAUCAUAGUCCAAAGCUCACAAGCUCGCACGGUGAAUUUCAAGUUUAUUGCAAUCAUUUUGAUCGUGUCAUAUGAACUAAAAGAAGGAACAAGUGUGCUAGUAUUCUGUGUUUAGUGUGAUAAUUUUUAUUUCGCCUUCAAUUUAUCUUCUGGCGAAUCGUUCAGUGCCGUACCAAAAUUGGUUCUUGCUGGGUUGCGGAGCUCUCUUUCAUCAAGGUCCCACAUUUUACCUUAACACUGGUUACUGGUGUCUAUACCUUGCCGGACACACCAAUCAUAUUUGCCGUAUCUCACUCCAGGUGACCAUUGCCUGAGACCAUCAAACUCAGAUCACCUGGCCGGGAAUCGAACCCGGGACCUCUUGGUCAUAGGGCCAGUGCUACAACCACUACACCACAGGAGGCCGACAAUGAUUAGGAAUAAUGGUGAGCUUGUAUAAAUUUGUCGUUGUUGGAAUUUAAGGUCACAGUAAUUAAGUAAUCUGACUAACUACUUAAUCUCCAUUUCAAGAAAAGUGCACAAUUUUGUUAAAGUAACAGUAAUUUUGGAACUGUAGGUGAGGGGAUUCAAGUGUUCAAGUUUCAGUGACAAGUCCUUUCAUUACCGAA